GGUCGGAUGCGGUUGUCAAUCAGGCCGUACAUGGCAGUGAAAGGUGAGCUAUUUUUAGAGGGCUAUAUAACGGCCUCGGCGCUCUCGCCUCGGACACAACGGCCACUGAGCUAAGAGCGAGACCGGAGAGUUACUUCCCUAAGAUAUGGUCUUCCUGCCAGUGCGAAUUAGCUGGAGAGGGGGUUGGAAGAGAAUGAUGGACACCUCUAGCCGAUGGGCAGGCGAUUCUCAGCAUGCCAGAUUUAUGCGCCCAGAGGGGGGGGUCAGGUGUGAGAGGAGUGGUAUAAGUGAGUGAGCGGUCGAAAAGAGGGCAGGUGUGGAAGUGUGCGCAGGGCAGGUGCAAUUGUGUCACAGCUGGACUCUAGAAGCCUUCAUGCCUUACUUUGAGUUGCUCUCCCACUGCUAACCCUCUGUCUCCCUGUGUAUGAAACAGCUGGUGCUCACUGUACCCUCUCUGGCCUCGCAGGACCCUACACCUCACAUACUGGGCCAUGGUUAUAGUACACACACACACACACAGCACAAGAGAGAGAGAAAGAGGGGGGGGGGGGACGUUGCUGUAGAUAGUAUGCCUUGGGGUGUUAGAUUCUUUCUUUAACC
ensembl:lncRNA